CGAAACAGUGAUUGUCAACUGUUUAGUUCGGACGAAUUAGGUAGGUUAGUUUGUUGCGUGAUUUUGAGUCUGAUUUGCGACUCCGUCUUAUUUUGUGUUAAUUUCCGCGGGUUGACCGAUUAGCAGUGUAAUCGAUUGUUGAGUGAGUAGCGAUCUGUUUUCAGUGUAUAAAAAAUUCCUGUCGCGAAAACAUGUUUUAUUAUAAUACCGGCAACCACGGUGGGGUGAAACAGGUCUUGUGAAAUGAGCGUCUCUGUGACGUAAUACUGACUCUUCGUGCGACAACGCACUACAGAGCGGCGGAGAAUAAUUAUGAGAAUAAUUAAUUUGUGGGAGCUGAAGGGCUGUGAACUUGUCCGUAGAAGACGCCUCGAGGCCUGCAAGCAGAGCAGUCGGACACAUCGCUACCUGAAACGGAUUUCAACCCGGUGUAGAAAAUUAGGGUGGAAGGAUUUACUGAACGUGAAUACCAUGCAGCGCGAUUUUAUUCUCUGGAAGGACUUGGACAAUCGAGAUAAAAAGUCUACAUUAGGCAACCCCUUGGGUUGUUUUCGCCCCAAA